rnacentral:rRNA from 1 species
GAUGAACGCUGGCGGCGUGCUUAACACAUGCAAGUCGAACGAGAAAUGUAGACGGAAACCUUCGGGCGGAAGCCUUCAUUUCGAGUGGCGGACGGGUGAGUAACGCGUGGGUAACCUGCCUCAUACAGGGGGAUAACAGUUGGAAACGACUGUUAAUACCGCAUAAGACCACAGCAUCGCAUGAUGCGGGGGUAAAAACUCCGGUGGUAUGAGAUGGACCCGCGUUCGAUUAGCCAGUUGGCGGGGUAACGGCCCACCAAAGCGACGAUCGAUAGCCGAUCUGAGAGGAUGACCGGCCACAUUGGGACUGAGACACGGCCCAAACUCCUACGGGAGGCAGCAGUGGGGAAUAUUGCACAAUGGGGGAAACCCUGAUGCAGCGACGCCGCGUGAGUGAAGAAGUACUUCGGUAUGUAAAGCUCUAUCAACAGGGAAGAAAAUGACGGUACCUGAGUAAGAAGCCCCGGCUAACUACGUG